GUCUCCCUUAACAUGGAAGCACCCGGCAGAGGCUGAUCUGUGGGGCUGGGGAGAAAUGGAGCAAUCGCCAACACUCCAGGCUCGUCUGUGAACCCCAAAUUCCAUUAAGAAAAGAAACUGCUUAGCAAGACCCUUUUGAAAGCCCCGGGGUGCUAAAGGAGCAGAAGGAAAGCCCGGCUUAGCAUCCACACGGCCACCAAAGCUCGGAGGGCAGAGACUGCCGGGAGGAACUGAUCUGAUGAGAGGAUCCAUGAGAGAGCAGGGCAACUGCACUAAGUGCCCAUUUCUCCAACACGGACAGGGCACCGGGGAGCUUGGCUAACAUGGUCACUCAGCCUUCCUUUGUGGAAUCACAGGACAGGAGCCUGCUUUGGGCCAGCAUUUACAAAAACUGUCUUUUUUGGCCCCUGGACCCUGAUGAAUAGAAAAACGCUGCAGUCUGCAAACCCACUGCAAUCGCCGCGUCAGCUCAGAGCCGAGAUGCUUCCCAAAUGAACACCUGGAUGGUGUAAAUCACCCUGACAGUAAACACUUCAGGCCAGGACGCAGGCUGCAGGCGGGGUGGGGUGGCAUCCUCCCACCCAGCUGGGGUCCAUAAACCAGGCACUGGCCCUGCGCUAAUAAAUGCUCCUUUCACAGCAAAAGACCCCUCCUCCCGGGCUGGGAUCACGGUCCCGGUAGAGAGGGUGCUCAGAUAACCGACAGCGUUUCUCCCACCCUCAUCACUGUCCGACUUACCCCGGGCUGGCAUCAGGGAGUGUUGUCAGGCGUUUAUGCCGUUAUGAAUGGCUUUAUGAUACCUCGAGAGGGGGACCAGGGCCACCGGCUUCAUGGUGGCUAUUUUCUGAAGGUGGCAGGAGAAGAUAAAACCAAAAUUCAGGGUUUGCUUUUUAAAUACCAUGCUAGUAAAAUCAGAACAGUAAUGACGGGAACCAAAAGAUCUAUCUGAAAUGUUCCUAAGCCAGACAGAUGUGAGGACGCACAAUGUAAACGUUAUGCAGCAGCUUUGGGAGAGGCUUUUUAUGGCUCUGUUUCUUUCCACUCACAGCACAGACUCGAGAAAUGUAGGGAACUCGAGAGCAGCCACUCGGCCCCAGGAUCAACCCAGCACCGAAGAAAAACAACCAGAAGAAAUUAUUCUUCAGCCUGAAAUGAAGCCGGGAUCAAAUGGUUGCUGAUCAGAGCCCAUAUUUAAAUUGGAAAAGUCAAAUUGAGCAUUAUUAAAUAAAGCUUGUUUAAUA
rnacentral:lncRNA from 1 species